rnacentral:misc_RNA from 1 species
GAGGAAAGUCCGGGCUCCAUAGAGCAGGGUGCCAGGUAACGCCUGGGGGGCGCAAGCCCACGACAAGUGCAGCAGAGAGAAGACCGCCGAUGACCCGUAAGGGCACAGGUAAGGGUGAAAGGGUGUGGUAAGAGCGCACCGUGCGGCUGGCAACAGUCCGUAGCAGGGUAAACUCCACCCGGAGCAAGACCAAAUAGGCUUCCACAUUGCGUUGCUCGCGUAAGGAGGCGGGUAGG